rnacentral:rRNA from 1 species
CCUACGGGUGGCUGCAGUGGGGAAUAUUGGGCAAUGGGCGCAAGCCUGACCCAGCGACGCCGCGUGGGUGAUGAAGGCCUUCGGGUCGUAAAGCCCUGUCGGGUGGAAAGAACGGUGGGGGGGCGAAUAGGCCUCUCACGUGACGGUACCACCGAAGGAAGCACCGGCCAAUUCCGUGCCAGCAGCCGCGGUAAGACGGAAGGUGCAAGCGUUGCUCGGAAUCACUGGGCGUAAAGGGUGCGUAGGCGGCCGCGCAAGUCUGGCGUGAAAGCCCC